rnacentral:rRNA from 1 species
UACGGGGGGGGCAAGCGUUGUUCGGAAUUACUGGGCGUAAAGGGCUCGUAGGCGGCCAACUAAGUCAGACGUGAAAUCCCUCGGCUUAACCGGGGAACUGCGUCUGAUACUGGAUGGCUUGAGUUUGGGAGAGGGAUGCGGAAUUCCAGGUGUAGCGGUGAAAUGCGUAGAUAUCUGGAGGAACACCCGUGGCGAAGGCGGCUCUCUGGGACGGUACUGACGCUGAGACGCGAAAGCGUGGGGAGCGAACAGG